GAUGAAGAACGCAGCGAAAUGCGAUAAGUAAUGUGAAUUGCAGAAUUCAGUGAAUCAUCGAAUCUUUGAACGCACAUUGCGCCCGCCAGUAUUCUGGCGGGCAUGCCUGUUCGAGCGUCAUUACAACCCUCAGGCCCCCGGGCCUGGCGUUGGGGAUCGGCGGAAGCCCCCUGCGGGCACAACGCCGUCCCCCAAAUACAGUGGCGGUCCCGCCGCAGCUUCCAUUGCGUAGUAGCUAACACCUCGCAACUGGAGAGCGGCGCGGCCACGCCGUAAAACACCCAACCUUCUGGAAUGUUGACCUCGGAUCAGGUAGGAAUACCCGCUGAACUUAAGCAUAUCAAUAAGCGGAGGA
rnacentral:misc_RNA from 1 species